AGUGCACAUUUUUAGAGCUCGGAGUUUAGGCCACUGAUUGGCCGAUGAACUCCCGAGUGUAGGUAUUGUGCCACGAGAGGCAAGUUUUUCACUAACACUACAAGGGUCUCUGGCCCGAUGAGUGGAGUUUGAUAGUAAUCCUUGCUACAAGU